ACCCGCUCCGGGAGCAGCAGCACGUCCCACGCUGAGAGCACCGCGCCGUCUCGGCGGAUCCAGGCCGCCGCCACUGCGCGGGGCUACCUCUUCUGCCUUGUGCCGAGUGCCUGUUCUGGUCCUUUUCGCUUCCCUGUCCUUCAUCCUCGCCUUGUCCCUCAUCCUCGUCCUGUCCUUUAUCUCCAUCCACACCCGGGGCCAACCAGCCCGCCGGGUGCUUCCAGCUGCUGAUCGCCCUCAGCAGGUCCAUGUCGUCGCACGCCCUGCAGAAGAGAGUCGGGUGGCUGUUCAGCAGUAGGCGACAGCAGUGGCCAUCCAGUAUCCCGUGUGGGCAGCCCUGUGCCGCCGCCACUGGUGCCUCCGAGCUCAGUGACAAGGUCCAGGGCAGGCUGCACCGCGCGGCUGCCCGCCACGACCUGGCAUGGCUGAGGCGGUGGCGCUGGUAUUUCAAGAGAGUCGGCAUGGACCCGCGAGACCAGCGGAGGCGGUCAGUUCUGUGGACCACUAAUGGGACACCUUGGCUGCUUCUGGCAGGCGCUGCAGCAGCAUUUUCUGAGCCAAGCUUCACUAGUCCUCAGCAAGCUUCUCUUCAGGAAAAGGCAAAACGAGAGUAUCAGCAUGGUGCGACCACCCCCACCCCCAGCAGCUUUAGAUGCCACGUGGAAGCACUCGCCCUUAAGGCCGUGUGUAGGAUCGCGUUCAAGCUAAUGGCUUGAAAAGCGAGUUUUGUCCUGUCCGCUGGGAGAGUGAACUCUAGCGUUUUUCGUGGCUUGAAGCGGCCUGGUUGGCUCGAGCACUGUUGGAAGUGGAUGCUGCGGGCCUGCUGCUUUGCCGUCGACUCUCUGCAGGGCUGUUUCACAGCUGCUUAGACCUCGCCCAUUCUCUUCUGCCCUGUGGCUCUUCCAGUGUGACUGAUGUUUUAGGACUGCUCUUGCCAUUACUACAAGCCAUGAGGCUGAUGUGGAGGAAGACAAUCUGUGCUUGCAAGAGGAGUUGGAGAGGGUUGAAGUGGAGGUAUGGAAAGGCUGUUCCUACAGAAAUAAACCAUGAGGUGCUUGAUGCUUUCCUGUCCAUCACAAAAAAAGGGCAAAAGAGUAUCCUGUGAGCCAGAAGAAGAGAGACCUAAGGAAGUGGUGGUUACACUGAGGUUUGAUCUUCCUCAGUCCCUACUGCCUUUCCACCCCACCCUGCUGAGGUACAGCUGCCUCUCUUCAGGGUUUCACUACUUCCUGAUCAGGGGCGUGGUGCCGUCGUGUCCACUCGGAUACCGCUCCAGUGGCCUGGCCGGGCGACACGACGAUGGCAGAAGGCACUCCCUCUGGGUUCCCCGAAGGGCUUACAAGGAGUGCCUCCGGAGGAGCGACGGGACGGCGAAACCACUAAGGAACGAGGCUGACUCUCCUCAGGGGCAAAUGUCAGGUUUUAUUGAUAGCUCCAGGAGCUCCAACUGCACCUAACUCCAGCCGACCAACAAGAGCCCCGAGAGGCACUCUGCAACGACUUAUAAAGGGGGGAGUGGAAGGGCAGAACAGCCAAUAGGGUCAAACCGGGGAGUGACUUUCGAGGAAACAGAUAGGGAUGACAAUCUAUUAGGGGAAGGUAGGGGAGGGGUCCCUGGUCCUGAUCCAAUCACUCGACGCCCCUGAUGGAAGUUUCCAGGUGGUGGGAAUGGGCUGCCGAGUGAUGGACAAGGCACCAGGGAGGGGACACGGGAAUGACUCAGCAGUUCUGCUGAGUCAAGGGGCAGUCUAAGGGAAGAGUGACAAGGAAGGAACCAAAGGGAUAUGGGGGAGCAACAGGGACAAACCAUCUUAAAAACACGGGUAAUAACAAUAGUAAAAGCAAACACAAUACAACAGCGUGGGAUUCCUCUCUCUGCUCUACAGUAGAGAUCUUCCUGGUUUAAGAGCACAUCCCAAGCACCCCGGCAUGAUUCUCCACUCCAGAGCACGUCUGAUGGCGUAGUUCACCUGGAAUGGCGCUCACCAGGAUAUAACUGCUGCCAUCCCUCCUGGUCCUACCAUGCUGAGGCAGAGCUGCCAUUCCUCAGGAAUCCACUGCUUCCCGCUCAGCAGGAGCUGGGCACCUCUCUCAGUGCUGCAUUUGAGGUCUCUGCCACUUCAGAAAACUCCCCGUGCUGCCAUGCUGUGCUCCAGAGCAGGUCCACUGGAGCAGUUUUCCUCUGACACUUCCAAGACUCCUUCAUUCUUUAGGAAUAAAAGCAUUUCAGUUCAUGCAGUAGUAAAUAAAAUGAAUACAAAAAGCAUCAUCACAGAUACCCAAAAGGGUUGGAGCGGCACUGUCAAUUCAACUGCACUGGGACAUCUUGGCAACAAUUUGGGACUGAGCAGAAGUCUCAGUCUAGGAGGAAGCUUCCUCACCCCAGCUGAGAAUACAUUAUCCUCAAGAAACAGGGUUGCAGCCUUUGCGGCCAAGACAUCAGGUCUGAAAAAACAGAACACUGCUAAUACACUCAGAAUCAACUACAGAAAGUAUCUGUACAACAGUCACCUCAGUAUAAAAGAAUACUGCCAGAAGCACAUUUGAUAAAGCUGUGAAGAUUAAUUCUGGAAAGGAAAAUAAAAACUGUAAUAUAUGUACAAUUCUUAGUGAUGAAGGAAAGGAAAAUAUUUCA